rnacentral:rRNA from 1 species
GACGAACCACCCAAACGUUAUUCGGAAUUACUGGGCUUAAAGGGUGCGUAGGCGGCGUGGAAAGUUGGGUGUGAAAUCCCUCGGCUCAACCGAGGAACUGCGCUCAAAACUACCGUGCUCGAGGAAGACAGAGGUAAGCGGAACUUCGGGUGGAGCGGUGAAAUGCGUUGAUAUCCGAAGGAACACCGGUGGCGAAAGCAGCUUACUGGGUCUUUUCUGACGCUGAUGCACGAAAGCCAGGGGAGCAAACGGG